UACGAAGGGUGCAAGCGUUAAUCGGAAUUACUGGGCGUAAAGCGCGCGUAGGUGGUUGGGUAAGUUGAAUGUGAAAGCCCCGGGCUCAACCUGGGAACUGCAUGCAAAACUGCCCGACUAGAGUACGGUAGAGGGUGGUGGAAUUUCCUGUGUAGCGGUGAAAUGCGUAGAUAUAGGAAGGAACACCAGUGGCGAAGGCGACCACCUGGACUGAUACUGACACUGAGGUGCGAAAGCGUGGGGAGCAAACAGG
rnacentral:rRNA from 1 species